AAUAUAUAAAAAAAAAUUUAAAAAGGCCCAACUUGGUCCAACUCCCGACGCCGCUAACAAAACAUAAAAUCUUCAACCCUUCUCUUCCUUCUCUGCCAAUAAACUAAACCCUAACCAACUCCAAGUGUCGAGCCACCCAACUCACUAUUAACAAUGGCGCAUCAUCGUCGCUCCGACCCUGAAGCGGAACCAAACACCCGACUUUACAACCCAUACCAAGACUUGAACCUUCAAGUUCCCAUAACCAACCUGUACAAGCUCCCAACCUCUCCGGAGUUCCUCUUUGCUGAGGAAUCCCUCCACCAACGCCGCUCUUGGGGAGAAAAUUUGACCUUUUACACCGGUUCCGCUUAUUUAGGUGGCUCUAUAUCCGGCGCAGCCGUCGGGCUCUUCUCGGCUCUCAAGAACUUCGAGCAAGGCGAUACUUUGAAGCUGAAGAUCAACCGGAUCUUGAAUAGUUCGGGUCAUACGGGCCGGACAUGGGGAAACCGGAUCGGGGUGGUGGGCUUGAUUUAUGCGGGGCUGGAGAGUGGAGUCGUGGCGGUGACUGAUCGUGAUGAUGUCUGGAGCAGCGUGGCUGCGGGUCUGGCCACCGGAGCGGUUUGUCGUGCGGCGAGAGGUGUGAGGUCCGCGGCGGUGGCGGGUGCUCUGGGUGGGUUGGCGGCGGGAGCAGUGGUCGCUGGGAAGCAAGUUUUGAAGAGAUACGUGCCCAUUUGAAAAAAGAGAUGAUUUUGCAAUAAGUUGGUAUGUGAUUAGAUUGAAAUUUUUAUGGUGGUUGUAGGUUAAAUUUGAGGGGAAAUUUUUGCUAAUAGCAUUAGGUUUUAGAGAAAUCUAGUUUUAUUUAAUAUGUGAAAUUGAUGUGCUGAAAUUUUCUUUUCGAUGUUAAUGGAUCUUAUAUUCAACUACGGUCUGAACUUGGUUUAUUGCAACUUCAUCUAAGGCAUGUAAUGGUGCACUGUUUUAUGAUCAUUUUGAUGUUGUUUGGUAGCAUGUUUUCCUAUAGGUAAUGGUCUAAAGUGAUAUGGUCCCAUGCGGUUGCCUAUCGGCUUUCCUUUCUGCUAAGGUCAGGUAUCAAGGUCUUAGCUUUGACUAGGGCAUUGAAGCCUGAGGCCAGCGGGUUAUUUAAAGGAUGGAAAGGAGAAGUGAUUGUAUAUUCACCAUAGAGUUAUGUUCCGUUGUUGUUUCUGACUCUGGGGUUUUGUUCUUUUCUUUAAGGAUUGGGAUCUUUAGUGACACCCCCCAAAAAAUUCAAGGAUAAGGUGCUAGAUUUUAUUUUCUAUUUUGUUGUUAUUCGCCUUCAUAUAGAUAUAACACAGAAGUUUCUCUCAUUGCAUCUUUGAUAUUCUUUUAACAAGUUGGAUCUUCUCUAUUAAAGGGAGGGUUUGAGAGGCUUGUAAAACAUUAUAAAUCCCGCAAAUACGGACGGGAUGGAGAAAUAGAAAUUUGAACUUUUAUUCCCCUUCUUAGUAAUAACAGUUCUCGAGCAUUUAUACAAACAAUUCCCAACCCAAGCUGAGCAAAACUGAUCCACUUGGGAGUCUUUGGUCACACAAAGUGAAGCCACAAGAUUACACAAAACUCAUACCAGCAUGUUUCAAAAAAGAUGGGGAAAGCCGGUCAGCAGAUCAAAGCGACGAAUAUGAAUACCAACACUACCAACAAAGACGAGGAUCUAUCUAUCGAGCUUGAACUAGAACUCAAAACAUGAAAACACAGCAUAGUUCUCAUUUCUAUAUGGCUUUAAACUAGAUGUACUAACUUGACACCGUCGAAAUCAAACCUUCAACGGGAAAUUUUGUCAACCGUAUGAGCAGGGGUUGCUAAUUCAGAAUACUAAAGAAUAUUUGAUGCAAAACCAUUAUUUUCGGUGAACAAUUCUGACCAGUAAAACACUAGAAAUGUGAUGGGUUAGCAGUAGCAUCCCCUUAAAUCAUUCCAAAUAUUCCGUAUGGAAAGGGUUAUUACACUCUGCAAAAGGAAAAUUCCAGCUCGCAGUUUUGUUCCUCAAUUCCUGAUCCCCCUUAUUCCCCAAAAAAAUUUAAAUUGGUUUACAAUGAAAAUACUACUCCCGAAGAAAAUUGCCCAGGAAUACAUGUAUUGGAUUCAAGCCAUCACGAAAAUUGAUCACAGCAAGAAAGUGUGUUUAACUUAAAGAAACAAACACCAUUGA